CGGGGUGAGUAGCGCGUGGGUAACCUGCCUCAUACAGGGGGAUAACAGUUAGAAAUGGCUGCUAAUACCGCAUAAGACCACAGUACUGCAUGGUACAGUGGUAAAAACUCCGGUGGUAUGAGAUGGACCCGCGUCUGAUUAGGUAGUUGGUGAGGUAACGGCCCACCAAGCCGACGAUCAGUAGCCGACCUGAGAGGGUGACCGGCCACAUUGGGACUGAGACACGGCCCAG
rnacentral:rRNA from 1 species